rnacentral:rRNA from 1 species
AGCAUGUGGUUUAAUUCGAUGAUACGCGAGGAACCUUACCUGGGCUCAAAUGUAUGUUGACGUAUUCUGAAAGGGAUACUUCUUCGGACAAUAUACAAGGUGCUGCAUGGUUGUCGUCAGCUCGUGCCGUGAGGUGCCGGGUUAAGUCCCAUAACGAGCGCAACCCCUAUCAUUAGUUGCCAUCAGGUCAAGCUGGGGACUCUAAUGAAACUGCCUACGCAAGUAGUGAGGAAGGUGGGGAUGACGUCAAGUCCUCAUGGCCUUUAUGACCAGGGCUACACACGUACUACAAUGGCCGAUACAAAGGGCAGCGACACUGCGAGGUGAAGCCAAUCCCGUAAAAUCGGUCUCAGUCCGGAUUGGAGUCUGCAACUCGACUCCAUGAAGUUGGAAUCGCUAGUAAUCGUGGAUCAGCAUGCCACGGUGAAUACGUUCCCGGGCCUU